rnacentral:miRNA from 1 species
UGAGGCUCUGUUAGCCUUGGCUC